GAAGAAAGAGGGAGGAGGGUUGAAUACAUGCAAGUCGAGCGAAGUUUUUCUGGUGCUUGCACCGGAAAAACUUAGCGGCGAACGGGUGAGUAACACGUAAAGAACCUGCCUCAUAGACUGGGACAACUAUUGGAAACGAUAGCUAAUACCGGAUAAUAGCAUUAACUGCAUGGUUGAUGUUUAAAAGUUGGUUUUGCUAACACUAUGAGAUGGCUUUGCGGUGCAUUAGCUGGUUGGUGGGGUAAAGGCCUACCAAGGCGACGAUGCAUAGCCGACCUGAGAGGGUGAUCGGCCACACUGGGACUGAGACACGGCCCAGACUCCUACGGGAGGCAGCAGUAGGGAAUCUUCCGCAAUGGGCGAAAGCCUGACGGAGCAACGCCGCGUGAGUGAAGAAGGAUUUCGGUUCGUAAAGCUCUGUUGUUAGGGAAGAAUGAUUGUGUAGUAACUAUACACAGUAGAGACGGUACCUAACCAGAAAGCCACGGCUAACUACGUG
rnacentral:rRNA from 1 species